rnacentral:rRNA from 1 species
GGGUUGUGAGGUUAAGCGACUAAGCGUACACGGUGGAUGCCCUGGCAGUCAGAGGCGAUGAAGGGCGUGCUAAUCUGCGAUAAGCGCCGGUAAGGUGAUAUGAACCGUUAUAACCGGCGAUACCCGAAUGGGGAAACCCAGUGUGACUCGUCACACUAUCAUUAACUGAAUCCAUAGGUUAAUGAGGCGAACCGGGGGAACUGAAACAUCUAAGUACCCCGAGGAAAAGAAAUCAACCGAGAUUCCCCCAGUAGCGGCGAGCGAACGGGGAGGAGCCCAGAGCCUGAAUCAGCAUGUGUGUUAGUGGAAGCGUCUGGAAAGGCGCGCGAUACAGGGUGACAGCCCCGUACACAAAAGCGCAUGUGCUGUGAGCUCGAUGAGUAGGGCGGGACACGUGGUAUCCUGUCUGAAUGUGGGGGGACCAUCCUCCAAGGCUAAAUACUCCUGACUGACCGAUAGUGAACCAGUACCGUGAGGGAAAGGCGAAAAGAACCCCGGCGAGGGGAGUGAAAAAGAACCUGAAACCGUGUACGUACAAGCAGUGGGAGCCCCACCACCAAAGCAUUCUCUGGUGUUGAAGGCCCUGCAAAGCAGCAUCGCGGUGGCGGAGCGUCGUUUGCGACGCCCAACACACAAAACAAGCGGUGAGUGCUUUGGGGUGGGGUGACUGCGUACCUUUUGUAUAAUGGGUCAGCGACUUAUAUUCUGUAGCAAGGUUAACCGUAUAGGGGAGCCGUAGGGAAACCGAGUCUUAACCGGGCGUUAAGUUGCAGGGUAUAGACCCGAAACCCGGUGAUCUAGCCAUGGGCAGGUUGAAGGUUGGGUAACACUAACUGGAGGACCGAACCGACUAAUGUUGAAAAAUUAGCGGAUGACUUGUGGCUGGGGGUGAAAGGCCAAUCAAACCGGGAGAUAGCUGGUUCUCCCCGAAAGCUAUUUAGGUAGCGCCUCGUGAAUUCAUCUUCGGGGGUAGAGCACUGUUUCGGCUAGGGGGUCAUCCCGACUUACCAACCCGAUGCAAACUGCGAAUACCGGAGAAUGUUAUCACGGGAGACACACGGCGGGUGCUAACGUCCGUCGUGAAGAGGGAAACAACCCAGACCGCCAGCUAAGGUCCCAAAGUCAUGGUUAAGUGGGAAACGAUGUGGGAAGGCCCAGACAGCCAGGAUGUUGGCUUAGAAGCAGCCAUCAUUUAAAGAAAGCGUAAUAGCUCACUGGUCGAGUCGGCCUGCGCGGAAGAUGUAACGGGGCUAAACCAUGCACCGAAGCUGCGGCAGCGACACUGUGUGUUGUUGGGUAGGGGAGCGUUCUGUAAGCCUGCGAAGGUGGCCUGUGAGGGUUGCUGGAGGUAUCAGAAGUGCGAAUGCUGACAUAAGUAACGAUAAAGCGGGUGAAAAGCCCGCUCGCCGGAAGACCAAGGGUUCCUGUCCAACGUUAAUCGGGGCAGGGUGAGUCGACCCCUAAGGCGAGGCCGAAAGGCGUAGUCGAUGGGAAACAGGUUAAUAUUCC